rnacentral:rRNA from 1 species
UAAGGAAUAUUGGACAAUGCCCGCAAGGGUGACCCAGCCAUGCCGCGUGCAGGAAGACGGCCCUAUGGGUUGUAAACUGCUUUUACACCGGAGAAAACCUCCCCUCGUGAGGGGAGCUGAUAGUAUGGUGAGAAUAAGCAUCGGCUAACUUCGUGCCAGCAGCCGCGGUAAGACGAAGGAUGCAAGCGUUAUCCGGAUUCAUUGGGUUUAAAGGGAGCGUAGGUGGCCUUAUAAGUCAGUGGUGAAAUCUCUGGGCUUAACCCAGAAAUUGCCAUUGAUACUGUAGGGCUUGAGUACAGUUGCUGUGGGCGGAAUAUGACAUGUAGUGGUGAAAUACAUAGAGAUGUCAUAGAACACCGAUUGCGAAGGCAGCCAACUGGUCCGAUACUGACGCUGAGGUGCGAAAGCGUGGGGGGCAAACA